GUGAUAUACUAUAGCUGGUGUUAUGAAAGUGCACGGCUGUUUUUGUUUUCUGAAGUAGGACUGUUCUUCCAGGAGAAAACCAUUUAUACUGAGUGGAAGACUCCUAUCCCCAGAGCUGCGUGGUGGAGGUAUUGGAGAAUGAUGCAACUUCCAGAAAACUUCAAGUAGUCCCAGCUAAACUUUUCUUGAUGCACUUUUGUGAAAACAUUGCUCAAUAUCGUGCUCGGAGUGUACACAGGAGAGCCAGUGACUGUUUCCAAAAGAAGAUCAUCAUCCCUUUGGGCUGGCAGGAUGGUGACCAUGACACAAGGACUCAAUAGAAGAGAGCAAUUUACAAGAUGACUUUUGGACAAAGAUGAUAUGGCACAUUUCCCUUUGGAGCACAUUUUUACAGCUGAAUUAUAAAUUCCUACAUUGAGGCUCUAGACCUUGCCCCAACAUUUAUCCAACAGAGAAAGUUAUGUAGAGAGGCCGAAAGGUCUAACAUGCCAGCCGGACUGCCCUGAGCUCCCUUAAAUUGAUGUGAAGCAUCAGUUCCUCCUGAGACCAGAGGCCCUGAGUUCUGUACUUCCCAAAGUGUGCCCCUCACCCCAUGGCCGAGGCGUUGGUGGUCAGACAUAGGGAUGGACGGGGUUUUGAAAAUGCGACCCCUGUGCACACCAAGUCGAGCCACCAGUGAAGAGACUUGAGAACAUCCGGUGGAAGGUAACCACCAUGUCUAGACUGUGCCUGCUUGGUCGAUACACCGAUGCCAGCCAAGCUUGGAGAGGUCUGAGUCGGAGACUCGCAUGUUGCACUACAUACGUGCAAGAUCCCAUGUGACCUAGGAGUUUUAAGCAACUCCUUACUGUGGUUAUAGGGAAUUGUUUGAGGUCCUGUAUGAUGUUGUGAAUGGCCUGGAAGUGGGACUGGGGCAGGAACGCUCUGACCUGUGCUGAGUCUAGCACUGCCCUUAUGAACUCUAUUCUCUGAGUAGGGGUGAGCGUUGACUUUUGAGUGUUUAGGAGGAGGCCCAAUGCCUUGAAGGUGGAUCUUAUGAGGGAGACAUGUUGUCAUAACUAUAAAGGGAAGGGUAACAGCUGUCCUGUGUACAGUACUAUAAAAUCCCUCCUGGCCAGAGACUCCAAAAUCCUUUUCCCUGUAAAGGGUUAAGAAGCUCAGAUAACCUGGCUGGCAUCUGACCUAAAGGACCAAUAAGGGGACAAGAUACUUUCAAAUCUUGGGGCGGGGGAGGCUUUUGUUUGUGUUCUUUGUUUGGGAGUGUGUUCGUUCUCGGGACUGAAAGGGACCAGACAUCAAUCCAGGUUCUCCACAUCUUUCUAAACAAGUCUCUCCUAUUUCAAACUUGUACGUAAAUAGCCAGGCAAGGCGUGUUAGUUUUCCUUUGUUUUCUCAACUUGUAAAUGUACCUUUUACUAGAGUGUUUAUCUUUGUUUGCUGUACUUUGAACCUGAGACUAGAGGGGAGUCCUCUGAGCUCUUUAAGUUUGAUUACCCUGUAAGGUUAAUUUCCAUACUGAUUUUACAGAGAUGAUUUUUACCUUUUUCUCUAAUUAAAAGCUUUCUUUUUAGAACCUGA